GAUGAAGAACGUAGCGAAAUGCGAUAAGUAAUGCGAAUUGCAGAAUUUCCGUGAGUCAUCGAAUCUUUGAACGCACAUUGCGCCCCCUGGUAUUCCGGGGGGCAUGCCUGUCCGAGCGUCAUUGCUGCCCUCAAGCACGGCUUGUGUGUUGGGCCCCGUCCUCCGAUCCCGGGGGACGGGCCCGAAAGGCAGCGGCGGCACCGCGUCCGGUCCUCGAGCGUAUGGGGCUUUGUCACCCGCUCUGUAGGCCCGGCCGGCGCUUGCCGAUCAACCCAAAUUUUUAUCCAGGUUGACCUCGGAUCAGGUAGGGAUACCCGCUGAACUUAAGCAUAUCAAUAAGCGGAGGA
rnacentral:misc_RNA from 1 species